GUAUGGUUAAGUGACUAAGCGUACAGGGCGGAUGCCUUGGCAAUCAGAGGCGAUGAAGGACGUGCUAAUCUGCGAAAAGCUUGGAUGAGUCGAUAAGAGGCGUUUAAUCCAAGAUAUCCGAAUGGGGAAACCCAGUAGAUGAAGAAUCUACUAUCAAUAAAUGAAUACAUAGUUUAUUGAGGCGAACCGGGAGAACUGAAACAUCUAAGUACCCCGAGGAAAAGAAAUCAACCGAGAUUCUGUGAGUAGCGGCGAGCGAAAGCGGAAGAGCCAGUAAGUUUUAGCUAGCAUAUUAGAGGAAUUGGCUGGGAAGCCAAAUCAAAGAGGGUGAUAAUCCCGUACUCGAAAGUAUGUUAGUGGAACUAAGCUUACGAUAAGUAAGGCGGGACACGAGAAAUCCUGUUUGAAGAUGGGGGGACCAUCCUCCAAGGCUAAAUACUCCUGAUUGACCGAUAGUGAACCAGUACUGUGAAGGAAAGGCGAAAAGAACCCCGGUGAGGGGAGUGAAAUAGAACCUGAAACCCUGUACGUACAAGCAGUAGGAGCGAGGGCAACCUUGUGACUGCGUACCUUUUGUAUAAUGGGUCAGCGACUUAUAUUUUGUAGCGAGGUUAACUGAAUAAGGGAGCCGAAGGGAAACCGAGUCUUAACUGGGCGUUGAGUUGCAAGGUAUAGACCCGAAACCCGGUGAUCUAGCCAUGGGCAGGUUGAAGGUUGGGUAACACUAACUGGAGGACCGAACCGACUAAUGUUGAAAAAUUAGCGGAUGACUUGUGGCUGGGGGUGAAAGGCCAAUCAAACCGGGAGAUAGCUGGUUCUCCCCGAAAUCUAUUUAGGUAGAGCCUUGAGCGGACACCUUCGGGGGUAGAGCACUGUUUCGGCUAGGGGUCCAUCCCGGAUUACCAACCCGAUGCAAACUGCGAAUACCGAAGAGUGAUACUCAGGAGACACACGGCGGGUGCUAACGUUCGUCGUGGAGAGGGAAACAACCCAGACCGCCAGCUAAGGUCCCAAAGUCUAUAUUAAGUGGGAAACGAAGUGGGAAGGCUUAGACAGCUAGGAUGUUGGCUUAGAAGCAGCCAUCAUUUAAAGAAAGCGUAAUAGCUCACUAGUCGAGUCGGCCUGCGCGGAAGAUGUAACGGGGCUCAAAUAUAGCACCGAAGCUGCGGCAUCAGAAUUUAUUCUGUUGGGUAGGGGAGCGUUGUGUAAGCGGAUGAAGGUGGCUCGAGAGGGUUGCUGGACGUAUCACAAGUGCGAAUGCUGACAUAAGUAACGAUAAAACGAGUGAAAAACUCGUUCGCCGGAAGACCAAGGGUUCCUGUCCAACGUUAAUCGGGGCAGGGUGAGUCGGCCCCUAAGGCGAGGCUGAAAAGCGUAGUCGAUGGGAAACGGGUUAAUAUUCCCGUACUUGGAUAAACUGCGAUGUGGGGACGGAGAAGGUUAGGUUAGCAGACUGUUGGAUGUCUGUUUAAGGUGGUAGGUGGAAGACUUAGGCAAAUCCGGGUCUUUAUAAACACUGAGAGCUGAUGACGAGGUCUUAAGGGACUGAAGUAACUGAUACCCUGCUUCCAGGAAAAGCCACUAAGCUUCAGGUUUAUCUAAACCGUACUGAAAACCGACACAGGUGGUCAGGUAGAGAAUACUCAGGCGCUUGAGAGAACUCGGGUGAAGGAACUAGGCAAAAUAGCACCGUAACUUCGGGGGGAGGUUGGGUUUCCGUUAUUUUUGUUCCUUUGGGGUGGAGGUUGAGUUAGUUGGAGAUACCCGGUGGCUGCAACUGUUUAUUAAAAACACAGCACUCUGCAAACACGAAAGUGGACGUAUAGGGUGUGAUGCCUGCCCGGUGCUGGAAGGUUAAUUGAUGGUGUUAUCGAAAGAGAAGCUCCUGAUCGAAGCUCCAGUAAACGGCGGCCGUAACUAUAACGGUCCUAAGGUAGCGAAAUUCCUUGUCGGGUAAGUUCCGACCUGCACGAAUGGCAUAAUGAUGGCCAGGCUGUCUCCACCCGAGACUCAGUGAAAUUGAAAUCGCCGUGAAGAUGCGGUGUACCCGCGGCUAGACGGAAAGACCCCGUGAACCUUUACUAUAGCUUGACCUUGACCUUUGAUUUUUGUUGUUUGGGUUGGUUGGGGGCUUUUGAGGCGUUGCCGCCGUUCUUUGUGGGGGGGCCUUUGAAUUCCCCCCUUUUACGUUUUGUUUUUUUACGGAGUUGCUUGAACGGGUUCUUGGGCCGUUUUUUGUUGGUUGUUUUGCUUGGGGGGUUUUCUUCCCAAGGGUUACGGAGGAGCACGAAGGUUUGCUAAUGACGGUCGGACAUCGUCAGGUUAGUGCAAUGGUAUAAGCAAGCUUAACUGCGAGACAGACAAGUCGAGCAGGUGCGAAAGCAGGUCAUAGUGAUCCGGUGGUUCUGAAUGGAAGGGCCAUCGCUCAACGGAUAAAAGGUACUCCGGGGAUAACAGGCUGAUACCGCCCAAGAGUUCAUAUCGACGGCGGUGUUUGGCACCUCGAUGUCGGCUCAUCACAUCCUGGGGCUGAAGUAGGUCCCAAGGGUAUGGCUGUUCGCCAUUUAAAGUGGUACGCGAGCUGGGUUUAGAACGUCGUGAGACAGUUCGGUCCCUAUCUGCCGUGGGCGUUGGAUGAUUGAUUGGGGCUGCUCCUAGUACGAGAGGACCGGAGUGGACGCAUCACUGGUGUUCCAGUUGUCUCGCCAGAGGCAUUGCUGGGUAGCUAAAUGCGGAAGAGAUAAGUGCUGAAAGCAUCUAAGCACGAAACUUGCCAAGAGAUGAGUCAUCCCUGACUUUAAGUCAGUAAGGGUUGUUGUAGACUACGACGUAGAUAGGUUGGGUGUGUAAGUGUAGUGAUACAUUGAGCUAACCAAUACUAAUUGCCCGAGAGGCUUAACCAUA
rnacentral:rRNA from 1 species